rnacentral:rRNA from 1 species
UACAGAGGUCUCAAGCGUUGUUCGGAUUCAUUGGGCGUAAAGGGUGCGUAGGUGGCGCCGUAAGUCGGGUGUGAAAUUCGCGGGCUUAACUCCGAAACUGCAUUCGAUACUGCGGUGCUUGAGGACUGGAGAGGAGACUGGAAUUCAUGGUGUAGCAGUGAAAUGCGUAGAGAUCAUGAGGAAGACCAGUGGCGAAGGCGGGGUCUCUGGACAGUUCCUGACACUGAGGCACGAAGGCCAGGGGGAGCAAACGGGG